rnacentral:rRNA from 1 species
GCGAACGCUGGCGGCAGGCCUAACACAUGCAAGUCGAACGGAUCCUUCGGGAUUAGUGGCGGACGGGUGAGUAACACGUGGGAACGUGCCUUUUGGUUCGGAAUAGCUCCUGGAGACGGUUGGUAAUGCCGCAUGUGCCCUUCGGGGGAAAGAUUUAUCGCCAUUAGAGCGGCCCGCGUCUGAUUAGCUAGUUGGUGAGGUAAAGGCUCACCAAGGCUACGAUCAGUAGCUGGUCUGAGAGGAUGACCAGCCACAUUGGGACUGAGACACGGCCCAAACUCCUACGGGAGGCAGCAGUGGGGAAUAUUGCGCAAUGGGCGAAAGCCUGACGCAGCCAUGCCGCGUGAAUGAUGAAGGUCUUAGGAUUGUAAAAUUCUUUCACCGGGGACGAUAAUGACGGUACUCGGAGAAGAAGCCCCGGCUAACUUCGU